AAAGAGCCGAAAUUUACGAAUUACGGUACGACAGUCAUACAAAUGGUUUAGUCUUUGUUCUAAACAUACUAUAUAUUACCUUAGGAAGAAGACUAUUGAGCGGUGGCUGUAUGGAGAUGUGGUUCAGAAGGGUACACAGGUGCGGGACUUCCCAUUCUAGUUGCGAGGGAAGACUGUUCUUUUAAGCUGCUCAAUUGCUUAAAGCGGAAUUUCUCGUAAUGAUAGUAUGAGGUCGUUUCAAUUAAAUCUUGAAGAUGAGUUCGCAUCAAAAAGUUACGAAGAAAAACAAACUCGCAGUGGUUUUCAUCAUCCACAUUGACAACCCCCCAUCUGUUUUGACGACCACGAAUAGGCCUUCCAUCUACGAUAAUGGCUUUUUCGGAACCGACCACGGCAAAAGGAAUAAGAUUUCGGACGGCAGCAUUUAGAUUAAUUUCCUCCUCAUCGGCGUCAUCAGAAUCAUAAGGAUACAAAUUGAUGUCGUGUUUAACAAAUUCUUCACGGAUUUGCUGCUUAAAUGCUGCUCUUUCUUCAAGAGUCAAUGAAUCAGACUUAGCGAUAACAGGCACAACAUUUACGACUUCUGUUAAGCGUUUGAGGACAGCAAUAUCAAUAGGGCGCAAAGAAUGUCCAGUUGGGCGAAUAAAGAAUAAACAACAAUGUACUCUUGUGUCUUGUAGACGUUUCUCGCGAUGUGAAUUUAAUUCACGACGAAGAUAGGAAGAGUGUUGGUCCCUAAUGUACUUAAUUAUAGGCUCCCAGCUAUUAUAGUUAGAAAUUGCUGUGCAGGAAUAGAAAUUUCCAUUUCCACUGAUCAAACUUACCAUUUAUCGUUAUUAAUUUGAUCUCCAUAUCCAGGAGUGUCGAUUAAAUUUAAUUGUAAUUGAACACGGUUCUCGCGAACGACUAUGUGGUUAGCAAUGUAACCAUAAUAAAUAUAAGGAUUGCUGACUCAUUGAAGCCAGCUCAAUGAGUUCAAUCAAAGAUGAAAACCUAACUAUAAAAAAAUCAACAUACCUUGGCUUGUAACAUGGAUUUCAGUUGUCUGGCGAUAAGGAGCUUGGUAAUCCAGACGACCCUUACUGUCCAUCAAGUGCGCAGAGAAUAAAGUAUUAAUCAAAGUGCUUUUUCCGCUACCUGACGGUCCUAUUUGAAACUGUUAACAUCAUUAUAAUUGAAAAUCUGUAAUAAAAAUAAUACGUACCAACCACCAUUACAUUAAAUUGAAAACCACGACGAAUUAACUUGCGGUUAAUUUGCGAAGUGAUAGAAUCGAACCCUAUAAACAUUAGUUUUGACUCUUUAUCAACAUUCUUUUGUUUUCAUACCCACAUAAUUAUUUAGGGUAACUGCAGAAGGAACUUCCAUUGCAAGUUGCGAAUUGAAUGAAUUUGGAAUUUGUUGGUUUUGGCCAAGUCAACAUUGUAACGUGAAGCAAGUCAAAACAAACAAAAAGGUCUCGGCAAUAUUUACGAUUUUUUUUUUAAAUAAUCUAACAGAGAGAAAACAAAAUUUAACAAUAUAUUUUAUUAAUAGAAAAGUGUUUCGAUGUUGUAUAAGGGCCCGAAAAUAUAUUAAAUUAGCAAUGUAACC